UGGCUCUCGCAUCGAUGAAGAACGCAGCGAAAUGCGAUAAGUAAUGUGAAUUGCAGAAUUUAGUGAAUCAUCGAAUCUUUGAACGCACAUUGCGCCCACUGGUAUUCCGGUGGGCAUGCCUGUCCGAGCGUCGUCUACACCCCUCGGCCCUGGCCGGUGUUGGGCCGUCCCGCGUGGAGGCCCGCAAGACGUGAGCCCGUUGGCGGUCGAUUCCGGUUGACAGGAGUUGACUGCGGCCGCGGCGGAGCACAGAGCGCUAGCAAUAGCAAUUUCUGACCUCGGAUCAGGUAGGGAUACCCGCUGA
rnacentral:misc_RNA from 1 species